AUUGAACGCUGGCGGCAGGCUUAACACAUGCAAGUCGAGCGGGGGAAGGUAGCUUGCUACCGGACCUAGCGGCGGACGGGUGAGUAAUGCUUAGGAAUCUGCCUAUUAGUGGGGGACAACAUCUCGAAAGGAACGCUAAUACCGCAUACGCCCUACGGGGGAAAGGGGGGGAUCUUCGGACCUCUCGCUAUCAGAUGAGCCCAUGUCGGAUUAGCUAGUUGGUGGGGUAAAGGCUCACCAAGGCGACGAUCCGUAACUGGUCUGAGAGGAUGAUCAGUCACACUGGAACUGAGACACGGUCCAGACUCCUACGGGAGGCAGCAGUGGGGAAUAUUGGACAAUGGGCGCAAGCCUGAUCCAGCCAUGCCGCGUGUGUGAAGAAGGCCUUAGGGUUGUAAAGCACUUUCAGUGGGGAGAAAAGUGAUUCACCUAAUACGUGAGUCAAUUGAUGUUACCCACAGAAGAAGCACCGGCUAACUCCGUGCCAGCCGCCGCGGUAA
rnacentral:rRNA from 1 species